GUGCUUUGGUAGCACAUAUACUAACAUUGGAAUGAUGCAGAGAAGAUUAGCAUGGCCCCUGAGCAAUGGCGACUCUCAGACUUGUGAAGUGCCACAUAUUUUU